rnacentral:rRNA from 1 species
CGCCACGGCUUAGAGUAAUUUAUUAAGUAACUUACCGCGACAGCUCGACUCGUGAACUCUCGGGGGCGUCGGCGUCAUGCUGAGGUUUCGACGUUGAUGGAAAAACUUGAGGAGCGCUCAGUGGGUGGCCGGUUAUGGCUCUGGUUGGACUCUCCCUCUCCUCUCCCUCUCUACCAACCCCCUCCUCCCCCUCCCCGCGACGCCGCCCACCCGUUCAUGCUCCACCCCGCCUGGUAGCCCCUCCCCUGCAAGCGGUUCCAGUUCAAGCGCGUCUUGUGCCUCUGUCCCCUCUCGCAGCGGUACUUCCACGAGCUAGCGAGGAGGUAGGAGUUCGUGUUCUACCACCUAGUCUAGUUCUCUCUCUAUAGGUAUUACUUCGAACACUCCGUAGGGUUACACCAGUCUAAUGUACUCCAAAACCGCUCGGCUUUCUUCUAUAAAUAUUAGAACCUCAAGUAGUGACCACCACUUGAUAAACUGUUUUAAUAAGCAGUACCCUCUGAGUCACUUCGCCUACGUGCAUUUAUGAAAGUCGUCGAAUAACUACCACAACUAAAAACGGUGUCGUUUCCUCAGAUGGUAGCUCUAGAUUUCGGACUUUUAGAAGAGGAACUAAGGGUUCCUUUAGAAUUUUAAAGUCUGAAACCUGAGUCACGUACCGGACGUGUCCCUCGACGGGAAGAUGCAUGAUGGACACCUUGGGGUUUGAUACAACGGGGUCUCCAAGAAUCAGUAUUUCCUAUACUACCUCGUGAACGACUAUGUACCAGUACACCUCAAUAAGAUAUACAGGACAACCGUCCAAUAGAAGGGAAGCUACUUCAUCUAAACUGAUGGGAAAUACCCUUCUAACUCUCGCGUCUUAUAAGUAAGGGUCGACACAAAGGUUCACCACGAUUCAGUGACUAUGCGUCUUAAGACCUAGGAUCGGGUCUAUGUGCUUAGUCCUAUUUUCUCUAGUCUUUCCUACUUACCAAAUUCUUUUUAAUACUUGGACGGUCCCUUCAUCUUUUACUUCUUCAUUUAGAGCUACUACAAUUACGUCGAAAACUACUAGGACUCCUCCUGUUACUUGUAUGAAAACUGCUACUUCGUCCGGGAAACUGCGAGUUACGUAAGCUAGAUUAAUAAGAUAGAGUUCCCAACUUGGAAAGCCGGGAUAAACUAGCGGCUGUCCUGAUACCGUUCGAAGUUUUAUCUAAAAAUAGUGCGUUUGGUCGUUUACAAUAUAACAGUUCAUACCUCCAACAACGAGUUAGGUACCCCAACUUCUGUGUAUAAGCGUUAAUAUUCUACUCCCACCUUCCAGGUUUACGCUUGUUCUGAUCGGUAGAGUGUUAAUACGAAGUUUAAAAACUUCAACGGGGUAGUUAGAAAUACCACCUUGAUCUCUCUAGACGACCUCUUUGAAGUCUCAUAUUAUUCAAGCAUUUGUUGAUGACGAGGUUUAAUCUACUAUAGUAGACCUUUCAAAGACGACUCUUCCCUUUUAGAUCCUGUAGGGCCGAUAGCUUCGCGAUUGAAUACGUGGAUAAUGUUAAAUUGACAUUGGUACACCCAAACGACGUCUCCCUCCCCCUCUAACACAAAUCACGGUACUAACAUAUGAUGCUGAUCAGCUCAGACGAACAUGUUUCUCCAGGUAGAUCAUCAAGCCUGUACAGUCAAAAGUACAUGUCUUUACACAGUUUGUUUGACAUGAAGUGAACAGAGGCCCAAACAAGCCCCUCAAAAAAAAAAAAGUUUUUGAGUCCAAAAUAAGUAAACACUAUUCAUCAUGUAGCAACACUCCUAGCAACGUUAAAGUAAAUUUCCGAAGAGUUUGAUUAGCCUUCAG